AUACGGAGGAUGCGAGCGUUAUCCGGAUUUAUUGGGUUUAAAGGGUGCGUAGGCUGUGCGUUAAGUCAGGGGUGAAAUGCCGUCGCUCAACGACGGAGCUGCCCUUGAUACUGGCGUGCUGGAGUACGGAUGCCGUUGGAGGAAUGAGUGGUGUAGCGGUGAAAUGCUUAGAUAUCACUCAGAACACCGAUUGCGAAGGCAUCUGAAGAAUCCGUCACGGACGCUGAGGCACGAAAGCGUGGGGAUAGAACAGGAUUAGAUACCCUGGUAUUCCACGCCGUAAACGAUGAUGACUAACCGUCGGCGAUAGACAGCCGGUGGCCAAGCGAAAGCGAUAAGUCAUCCACCUGGGGAGUACGUCGGCAACGAUGAAACUCAAAUGAAUUGACGGGG
rnacentral:rRNA from 1 species